UUGAGAGAGGGUUGGAGUGCAGGGUAUACUCUUUCAUUGUUCAAACUGAGCUGGGAUAUACAAAUAAAGAAACAUUUGCGGCCUGCAGUGCAUUUCUUGCAAUCCUGACGCAUGAAGAAAUGCUCAACUCCUGAUGCAUGGCGAAAAUAUUGGGACAUAUAAAAAAAGACAACUCUGUGCCGCAGAAUAGCGGUUGACAUAGUUGCACAGGAACUUUGUUGACUCUAGAGAACCUCGGGCAAAUCGCACAUCCCCGUGGUGGUGACUUUGCAUGCGGAUGUCAUCCAUAUGAACUUUUGAUGCCAGUUUUUGCGCCUGCCAUGGUGACCACGGGUAAUGGGGAAUCAGGGUUCCAUGCCAUACAGGGACCCUGAGAAACAGCUACCACAUGCAAGGAAGGCAGCAGGUGCGCAAAUGACCCACUCCCAACGCGGGAAGGUAGUGACGACAAAUAACAAUACAGGACUCUUUAGAGUCCACUUGAAAUCCUUUAACUCUGAUCAAUUGGAGGGAAGUCUGGUGCAGAGCCACUAACCCAUGCGUGCUGCAGCUGGAACUCCACUA